AGCAGUAUGGUGUACUGUGCACACGGGUUCUCCUGAAAAAUGCAUGAUAAGUUAAUAUCCCCGAGGUCCUCGUUCGAUUCGAGGUGCUGCUC